rnacentral:rRNA from 1 species
ACAGCAGCCGCCGCGGGAAUACGUAGGGCGCAAGCGUUAUCCGGAAUUAUUGGGCGUAAAGAGCUCGUAGGCGGUUUGUCGCGUCUGCCGUGAAAGUCCGGGGCUCAACCCCGGAUCUGCGGUGGGUACGGGCAGACUAGAGUGAUGUAGGGGAGACUGGAAUUCCUGGUGUAGCGGUGAAAUGCGCAGAUAUCAGGAGGAACACCGAUGGCGAAGGCAGGUCUCUGGGCAUUAACUGACGCUGAGGAGCGAAAGCAUGGGGAGCGAACAGGAUUAGAUACCCGCGUAGUCCCUGUCUCUAUACA